GCCACAAUGGCACAGUGGUUAGCGCUGCUGCUGCCACGCAAUAAGGAGGUUCCGGGUUUGAUCCCCGGCUGGCCA